UUCCAGACUCCUACGGGAGGCAGCAGUGGGGAAUAUUGCACAAUGGGGGAAACCCUGAUGCAGCGACGCCGCGUGAGUGAAGAAGUAUUUCGGUAUGUAAAGCUCUAUCAGCAGGGAAGAUAAUGACGGUACCUGAGUAAGAAGCCCCGGCUAACUACGUGCCAGCAGCCGCGGUAAUACGUAGGGGGCAAGCGUUAUCCGGAUUUACUGGGUGUAAAGGGAGCGUAGACGGCGACGCAAGUCUGAAGUGAACUGCCAGUGCUCAACACUGGAACUGCUUUGGAAACUGUGUGGCUAGAGUGCAGGAGAGGUAAGUGGAAUUCCUAGUGUAGCGGUGAAAUGCGUAGAUAUUAGGAGGAACACCAGUGGCGAAGGCGGCUUACUGGACUGUAACUGACGUUGAGGCUCGAAGGCGUGGGGAGCAAACAGGAUUAGAUACCCCUGUAGUC
rnacentral:rRNA from 1 species